ACUCCUACGGGGGCAGCAGUGGGGAAUAUUGGACAAUGGGCGCAAGCCUGAUCCAGCAAUACCGCGUGAGGGAUGAAGGCUUUCGAGUCGUAAACCUCUGUCAGUUGGAACGAUGGGUCUAAAGGUUAAUACCCUUUAGACUUGACGGUACCUUCAAAGGAAGCCCGCGUAAACUCCGUGCCAGCAGCCGCGGUAAUACGGAGGGG
rnacentral:rRNA from 1 species